GAUGAACGCUGGCGGCGUGCCUAAUACAUGCAAGUCGAGCGAACAGACGAGGAGCUUGCUCCUCUGACGUUAGCGGCGGACGGGUGAGUAACACGUGGAUAACCUACCUAUAAGACUGGGAUAACUUCGGGAAACCGGAGCUAAUACCGGAUAAUAUAUUGAACCGCAUGGUUCAAUAGUGAAAGACGGUUUUGCUGUCACUUAUAGAUGGAUCCGCGCCGGAUUAGCUAGUUGGUAAGGUAACGGCUUACCAAGGCGACGAUGCGUAGCCGACCUGAGAGGGUGAUCGGCCACACUGGAACUGAGACACGGUCCAUACUCCUACGGGAGGCAGCAGUAGGGAAUCUUCCGCAAUGGGCGAAAGCCUGACGGAACAACGCCGCGUGAGUGAUGAAGGUCUUCGGAUCGUAAAACUCUGUUAUUAGGGAAGAACAAAUGUGUAAGUAACUAUGCACGUCUUGACGGUACCUAAUCAGAAAGCCACGGCUAACUACGUG
rnacentral:rRNA from 1 species